GAUGAACGUUGGCGGCGUGCUUUAUGCAUGCAAGUCGCACGGUUUUCCCGCAAGGGAAGACAGUGGCAAACGGGUGAGUAAUACGUAAGUGACCUGUCCUAAAGUGGGGAAUAAUCUACCGAAAGGUGGACUAAUACCGCAUGUUGUGAUGAGGGUGAUGCUUCAUCAAGAAAGCCGUAAGGCGCUUUUGGAGGGGCUUGCGUCCGAUUAGCUAGUUGGUAGGGUAACGGCCUACCAAGGCGAGGAUCGGUAGCUGGUCUGAGAGGACGAUCAGCCACACUGGGACUGAGACACGGCCCAGACUCCUACGGGAGGCAG
rnacentral:rRNA from 1 species